AUACGAAAGGUGCAAGCGUUGUUCGGAUUUACUGGGCGUAAAGAGAGUGUAGGUGGUUUAUUAAGUCGGAUGUGAAAUCCCGGGGCUCAACCUCGGAACUGCAUUCGAUACUGAUAGGCUAGAGUUUGGGAGGGGUAAGCGGAAUUCCGUGUGUAGCAGUGAAAUGCGUAGAUAUACGGGGGAACACCUGAGGCGAAGGCGGCUUACUGGACCAAUACUGACACUGAGACUCGAAAGCGUGGGUAGCAAACAGGAUUAGAAACCCUAGUAGUCC
rnacentral:rRNA from 1 species